AUGUGUUUGACCUGAAGAAAUACUCUGCUUCAGAGGAGGUUCUUCUGAGGCUGCUGCCAGUGGUUAAAGCCUCCAACAAAGCUCUACUGAGUGUCUGUAACCUCUCAGAGAGAAGCUGUGAAGCUCUGUCCUCAGUUCUCAGCUCCCAGUCCUCCAGUCUCAGAGAACUGGACCUGAGUAACAACAACCUGCAGGAUUCAGGAGUGAAGCUUCUCUCUGCUGGACUGAAGAGUCCAAACUGCAACCUGGAAACUCUCAGCUUAUCAGGCUGUUUGGUCUCAGAGGAAGGCUGUGCUUCUCUGGCCUCAGCUCUGACCUCCAACCCCCCCAUCUGAAAGAGUUGGACCUGAGCUACAAUCAUCCAGGAGACUCAGGAGUGAAGCUGCUGUCGGCUGGACUGAAGGAUCCACACUGGAGACUGGAAGCUCUCAGGGUGGAGCCUGCUGGAGGCCGAUUCUUGACUCCAGGUCUGAGGAAAUAUUCCUGUCAACUCACCAUCGACACAAACACAGUGAACAGAAAACUCAAACUGUCUGAAGACAACAGGAAGGUGACAUUUGUGGAGCAGCUUCAGUCAUAUCCUGAUCAUCCAGACAGAUUUGAUUAUCCUCAGCUGCUGUGUAGAACUGGUCUGACUGGUCG